rnacentral:rRNA from 1 species
UACGACUACAUAUCAGGCAUAUCAAUAAGCGGAGGAAAAGAAACUAACAAGGAUUCCCUUAGUAACGGCGAGUGAAGCGGGAAGAGCUCAAAUUUGAAAUCUUCAAGGUUUUACCUUGACGAAUUGUAGUUUAAAGAAGCGUUUUCUGUUGGAGUUUUCGGUAAAAGUUCUUUGGAAUAGGACAUCAUAGAGGGUGAGAAUCCCGUAUUUGACCAUUAUUUCCAGCUGUGUGAUACACUUUCAAAGAGUCGGAUUGUUUGGGAAUGCAGUCCAAAAUGGGUGGUAAAUUUCAUCUAAAGCUAAAUACUGGCGAGAGACCGAUAGCGAACAAGUACCGUGAGGGAAAGAUGAAAAGAACUUUGAAAAGAGAGUUAAACAGUACGUGAAAUUGUCAAAAGGGAAGCGUUUGACACCAGUGUUGUUUUCUCGAAAAUCAAUUAAAAAAGAUUGGAUUUUGUGUUGUAUUGACUUUAUCAGCUUUCUUCACUUUUUUCCUAUCUUUUUUAAUGCACUUUUCGUUUAACAAGUCAACAUCAGUUUCUUUUGUUGUAAAAGAGUCAUUGGAAGGUGGCUUUCUUUUCGGAGAAAGUGUUUAUAGCCUUUGACUUCUGCAAUCGGAGAGACUUGAGGUCUGCAGCGUAGAUCCUUCGGGGUUAGAUACAUUUGUGCUAAGUUAUAGCCUUUUCAUAGACAACUUGUUGACUAUGAUCAGUCUAGUAGCUUACUCGCUGAUGUUAUUUUACCUACGCUUAGGAUGUUGACGCGCGUGUGUGCGUG